rnacentral:rRNA from 1 species
AUGUCGGAACUCGUCAAUCAUCCAGAAGCUAUGGCCAAGGCACAAUUGGAGGUCCGUGAGGUACUAGGUCCAGAUCGAGCUAUCAUUGCCAGUAGCGACCUUGCAGAACUCCACUACAUGCAGAUGGUCAUGAAGGAAACUUUUAGAUUGCAUCCACCUGCUCCUCUACUUAACCGCACGAAUGAAGAUGACUGCAGAAUUAUGGGUUAUGACAUGCUUAAAGGUACGAAUAUAUACAUUAAUGUCUUGGCAAUUUCCCAUGAUCCUCAAUACUGGGACAAUCCCGAAGAGUUUAAUCCAGGGAGGUUUGAGAAUAGUAACAUGGAUUAUAACGGGACAUGCUUCGAAUUCACUCCUUUCGGGUUCGGGCGACGCCUUUGUCCUGGGAUAACAUUCGCCUCCUCAAUUUUUGAGAUGGCAUUGGCAAACUUUCUCUAUCACUUUGACUGGAUGCUUCCUGACGGGGCCAUCUCGGAGUCGGUGGACAUGACCGAGAAGUUUGGGUUAAUUGUACGCAGAAGUUCUGACGUGCACCUCAGAGCUAUUCCACACCUAUGCUCCAAAGCUAUGGAGAUUUAA